GGGGAUGACUGGUUUUGACAGCGUGUAGAAACGGUGGGUAAGCAUGCAGAGCUUUGGUAUGAAAUCUCUUUAAUCGCAAUCAUAUCGACCUAUAAUUGGCGAAAAUAACAAUUACGCUCUCGCUGCGUAAGUCUGAAGUAUAGUAAGACCGCUUUAUCUGCAUCACAGUGAUGCAGACGAGACAUCUCCCCAUUGCCCCGUUCCGAGACGUUUGGAUCAGGAGGUGCAGAGAAAUUCGGAAAUAGGCCGGCAUUCGCCUCGCAUGUCGGUCGAGAUUCAGAGGCUAAGGGCAAGAUUGGUAGUCGUGAGCCUGUCUUGUCUCGAAAACCAAGUCAAUGACUAAGCAUGUAGAAAGCUCAUUGGGUCCGCGUUUGGACGAGGGUUCAAACCCCUCCAUCUCCACU
rnacentral:tmRNA from 1 species